UUUUUUUUUUUUUUUUGCCUUCCAGCAUGUUCUCUGGGUCAUUCUGUAUGUGGCUAGGUAGCUGGUCCUCCAGGGUUAGGAAACUGGGGGUGGGAGGGCUGGUGGUGAUGGCAGGGGUCUGAAAUUAAAGUAGGGUAUGACAAGUAUGUAAGGUUAGGGACAUAGAGCAGAAAAAGCAGAGUGACCCCCCCCCCCCACCCCGACCAGGGGUUAUCCCACUACUGCCCUAGACUGUCCCAAGGCAAAAAGUCCCUGCUAGGAGAAAAAGUCCUGGUUAUCAGUCAAAGUUGGUGUUUUUGUGACUGUUUCUGAGCCUCAGUUUACCUGUCUGUAAAUCGGCCUAAUCAGACCAGAGCCUUUCUGUAAUCAGACACAGUCCUUGUUUAACCAGAGAAGGGCACGCAGAGGUCCAUAACUGGACACUGUGGACCUCCACUAGCUUUCUGGUAGGUCACCCUAUUGCUCCUUAGAAACUGUCAGGUAGUCAGCGGACAGAGCCCAGAAUGGGUACUUAGGUCCAGGAUAGACAGCUGUCUGGAGCUGCCUUCCACUGUCUGAACCCAGCCCUGCCUAUGGAUGUGACCUCAGCCUCUGCCUGCAGCCCUCGGGGUCAUCCUUUCUCCAUCCUUAAGAUGAGGAGUACAAAUUUGUAGUCAUCUGAGACCUCUGGAAUUUGAGUCUGUAAGUGCUGGGUCUUUGGCACACCAGGCGCCUUGGCAGCCUUGUUUCUAUUGCUAUUGUCCCUCUGCUUUGGAGGUGAGGGGGCUGGAGAUUCCAGAGGGUCAGAGUGUCCAGCUGGUGCAGCCCUGGGUGAGGGCUGCUGAUUGUAGGUUCCUGAGUGACAAGUGUGGUCAGGGGGUCUCAGAGCUCAGCUAGUUCAUCACUGACAGCUUUUAGAAAUCACAGGUCUUCGUGGAAGCCGUUGCUGCCCCUUGUGCUAUGGCAAAGGUAUUACUUAUUACAGGGAAUUAUUCAAACAUCCCAUAGGCCAGGCUGGAAAACCCUUUUUGGGCCAGAGAGCAUCCCUUGUGUAAAAAAACUAGACCCAUAUUUUCCCUGCCAGGAGGAUGUGUCCCAGGGGUGCUAUCCAGAAGGGGUCAUUGUGCACCCAUUGGUCAAGAGGCAUCCUGACCCACUCAGGGAAGAAUUUCUAGUUGAAGCCACCAAGGUAGCAACUUGUAAAAACAGUGAGUGGUACCCACUCACCGCCACCCCCUUGUGUACUCUUCCCUGGGCCUCAGCAUGGUAAUCAGGAACGCACAGACCUUUUCUGUCAGUCUGUGCCCGUCAUUACCGUGGUGGACCGCAGCUUUUGUUUUGUGACCUUGGUUGCUACAAUACCUACGAGCUGAAAUGAGGAAUCAAAAAAUUGCCAGCUUCAAUUAGACUGGCAGACUGUGUUCUUAAGGCUGCUUCAGCCUUUCUAUCCAUUAAGGGUAAACAUGUACCAAAUAGGUCCUAAUUCUCUCUAAUUGCCUACUCCUGAAGCAAAGAGGUGAAAUUCCAGGAAGAGGCAUAUAUAAACAUCCUCUGAAACCCGACCAACGAAAAUUAGAGGGCUGAUGGGGGCCCGGUGCAUAGAAGGGGACAUGGUUUCAAAAGAUGUCCCAAUUACCGCUCCCAUUUUCAUAAAUGGGCCCGUAAUGUCCAGGGCCUGGGUCUCAACAAAGGUACAGGAAAUGAGCUCUGCAAAGAGCUUCCAUUUGUCAGGGGAACUUGCAAGAGGGUAGUAUUUUCUCAACAGGUAGGAAGUGGGAAAGGCUGAUCAUUUGCGUAACUGCAGACUCGAUUUCUUGAAAUCAACAUUUUAGUAAAAAUAGUCCUUUGACGUUUUUUUCCUCUGUUGGAAACAUCAGUGAGAUAUUUGUACCCAAAACAAGAUCAGUUAGGUCCUGUGUGCCUCCGGAAGAGAGAAACUUUUAAAAAGAUUAUCUCAGGAUGCAGAGUUAGAUGUUCUUAUCCUGGUGAGCUGUGGGGGCUGCAUUGACUACGCCCACCCUUGUUUUGUAUUCGUAGCAUGAGCUCAGGACAUGGAUUUACAAGGUCUUCCAUCAAACGUUUGUGACAGUGGUUCCUGCGGACUCUAUAAAAUCUUGUUUUUUCCUUUGGCUGCAGUGAGUCAUCUCUGCAGCUUUUCUGACAUUUGUUAAGAUUCCAACCCCGCACUGCGUUAUUAAUACAUCACGCAGAUCUGGAGCUGGUACAUGCAGCUUUUAAACCAAGGCACGACUUUGCCAGGGUUACGUGCUAGCGUAGCAGCCUGGGGUCUGCAUGCCGAGUUCAUUAAGGACAGUCAGGCGCGCCUAGGGUCCACAGGGGCCUGGAGGAGAGGCAGGAAAAAACCCAGAUGCCCUGGGCUGCUUCUGAUUACCUCCCUGCCAUUAAAAACAAAAUAGGGGAAAACAGGAGUGGACGAGUGAAAGCCCCCAGCUCAGGUUCCUGCAAAGAAACAGCAGCGUCUUUGGUCUUGCUGUGUGUUCUUGGUCUGGAGUCACCCAGAGACCAUGGUUGUGAUGAGUGGCCACCAUAGCCUUCAGGGGUCAUGGGGAGAGGGGUAUUCACUAUGCAGUUAGGUAGUUCUGAGCUAUAAGAUGACCGAGUGCUUGGGUCACCCACAUCUUCUGGUUGUCCUGUGAACACUUAUUUUUAAGAUACAGAAUCAAGCAGUUGGGUUUGGGAACACAGGCCAGAGAAGGGAUUUGCAGGAGGCUUGGAAAUAAGAGGUGUGUCCUAACUGUGACCUGGAAGGGUUUGGGGGUACCUCAGUCAGAGAGCUACCUGGCAAUGGAGGGUAUAGGUGGAGAAACCUGUCUGUAGAGGAUGAAGUAAGGAUAGGGUAGAGAGUCUCUGGAGAGCCAGCAGGGCAGGUAUCUGGCAGCCUGCGCUAGGUGUUUUUCAGGUCCCGUGGUUCUGUGCAUCCCAGUCUAUAACAUCCUAGAGCCCAUCACACUAAAGUCCCCCUCAUUGUCUAUCUCUCAGGAGUGUCCCCAGCCUCCCAUUAAUUCCUCUGGGUCUCCUGUUUCCCUGCAUGUCACUUAAAGGGGUUUAUUCUCCUGCUCCCAUCCUGACCCUCACUUCCAGACACAGCAGACUCUCCUCUUUGCCACCUAGUUUGACCAUAACCAGAUGCUAAUAACACAUUUUAAAAAUCAACUCAUUUAAAACAUGUUUUUGAACAGUCAUUUUAUUUUAUUUUCUUCUCAAGCAGUUUGAGUUUGUAGAACAAUCAGGGCAGUGACUAUGGGGGUUGGGGAUGUAGCUCCAUGCUUGCCUAGCAGGUAAGAAGCCUUAGGGUCCAGUCCCCAGCACCAAAAUCAAACUCAUAGGCAGUGGUGCAUGUAUGCCUGUCAUCACAGCACUUGGGAGGUAAGGCAAGAGGGCCAGAAGCUCAGCUUUAGUCUCUAUGACAUAGCAGAUUUGAGGCCAGUCCGGGCUACAGAAGAGCCUAUUUCAAAAGU
rnacentral:lncRNA from 1 species